ACUCGUAGACUCCUACGGGAGGCAGCAGGAAGGAAUAUUGGGCAAUGGGCGAAAGCCUGACCCAGCGACGCCGCGUGAAGGAUGAAGGCCUUCGGGUUGUAAACUUCUAACAAGUGUUAGUAAGGCCACGUAUAAUAAUACGAUAUGUGGAUAGAAAAAAGCACCGGAUGAAGUCAUGGCUAACUCUGUGCCAGCAGCCGCGGUAAUACAGAGAUGGCAACCGUUGUUCGGAAUCACUGGGCUUAAAGAGCACGUAGGCGGAAAGUUAAGUUGGAUGUGAAAUCCCAUGGCUUACCCAUGGAACUGCAUUCAAAACUGAUUUUCUUGAGAGCAGAAGGGGAGAGUGGAACUCCUGGUGGAGCGGUGAAAUGCGUUGAUAUUAGGAGGAACGCCGGUGGCGAAAGCGACUCUCUGGUCUGCGUCUGACGCUGAGGUGCGAAAGCUAGGGGAGCAAACAGGAUUAGAUACCCUGGUAG
rnacentral:rRNA from 1 species